rnacentral:rRNA from 1 species
UAGGGAAUCUUCCACAAUGGACGCAAGUCUGAUGGAGCAACGCCGCGUGAGUGAAGAAGGUUUUCGGACCGUAAAGCUCUGUUGUUGGUGAAGAAGGAUAGAGGUAGUAACUGGCCUUUAUUUGACGGUAAUCAACCAGAAAGUCACGGCUAACUACGUGCCAGCAGCCGCGGUAAUACGUAGGUGGCAAGCGUUGUCCGGAUUUAUUGGGCGUAAAGCGAGCGCAGGCGGAAGAAUAAGUCUGAUGUGAAAGCCCUCGGCUUAACCGAGGAAUUGCAUCGGAAACUGUUUUCUUGAGUGCAGAAGAGGAGAGUAGAACUCCAUGUGUAGCGGUGGAAUGCGUAGAUAUAUGGAAGAAUACCAGUGGCGAAGGCGGCUCUCUGGUCUGCAACUGACGCUGAGGCUCGAAAGCAUGGGUAGUGAACAGGAUUAGAUACCCUGGUAGUCCAUGCCGUAAACGAUGAGUGCUAAGUGUUGGGAGGCUUCCGCCUCUCAGUGCUGCAGCUAACGCAUUAAGCACUCCGCCUGGGGGAGUACGACCGCAAGGUUGAAAC